UACGUAGGGGGGCAAGCGUUGUCCGGAAUUAUUGGGCGUAAAGAGCGCGUAGGCGGUCCGAUAAGUCGGCUGUGAAAGUCAGGGGCUCAACCCUUGAAAGCCGGCCGAUACUGUCGGACUAGAGUUCGGAAGAGGCAAGUGGAAUUCCCGGUGUAGCGGUGAAAUGCGCAGAUAUCGGGAGGAACACCAAUUGCGAAGGCAGCUGCUGGGACGAUACUGACGCUGAGGCGCGAAAGCGUGGGGAGCAAACAGGG
rnacentral:rRNA from 1 species